UCUUCGUAGGUGAACCUGCGGAGGGAUCAUUA
rnacentral:rRNA from 3 species